UGUUAUGUUUAGUCAAACGUGUUUUCGAUAGUCAAAAGUAAUUUUUCGAACGUUCGGAUAAAAUAUGUAUUCUGGUUGUUAUUUUUUAAAUUUGAAUUGUUCAGCAUGAUUGGCAAUUACAAGCGUAAAACUGAUCCCGUCGAUUAAGAUAAGAUGUCUAAAGCUGUGCUAACUGUCAAAAAGGAUAAUAUGAAAAUUGCAUCAGCGGCGAAAAAAUUUGAAGUGUCUAGAAGCACAUUACAAAAUUGGCUAAAAAAAUACAAACGAAGAAAAAACUGAUGUGAAUGAAGUAGUUGCACUGAUUUUUGACGCAGAAGCGACUCUAGUAAAAUAUUUAGAAUACUACAAUAACAUAUACUUUGGCCUUUCAACAAAGGAAGUGUGAGGUUUAGCAUAUGAUUUUGCGAAGAAAUUAAAAUUAACUGUACCAUCGUCUUGGGAGGCCACUCGUAUGGCUGGUGAAGAUUGAUUAAGUGGCUUUCUCAAACGGCAUCAGAACUUGGCUAUACGAAAACCGGAAGCGACAAGCGUGUGUCACUAAUUUAAAUUCAAUUAAUGUCAAAAAUUUUUUUUUACUAUUGAAAAAAGUAAUGGAUAAAUUCCAUUUUUUGUGUCAAAAUAUUUGAAAUAUGAACGAAACCAGAAUCAUAACAGUACAAGCAUCCAAUCGAGUUAUUCGUCGACGUGGUAGUAAACAAAUUGAGUGCAUAACUUCUUCUGAACGAGGCGCACUCGUGACUUUGGUAAUGGCAAUAUCAGCAACAGGAAAUUCUCUUCCAUCUUUUUUUAUUUUUCCAAGGAAACAUUUUAAGAAUCACUUUCUCAAGUGGACCGGCUGCGUAGGCGCUGCGAAUCCAAGCGGUUGUAUGAACGCGAAACAUUUUUCUAAAUUUUUGGUAUUCUUUCAAUCCCACGUUCGUGCUUCUGUCGACCAUCUCGUUCUGUUUGUGUUAAACAAUCACAUUCUACUUAUCAAUCAAGGGACUAGAUUUUUGCAAAUCCAACAGUAUAAUUGUUUUAUCGCUUCUACCGUACUGCUUGUCUAAGCUUCAACCACUCGAUCGCAUUGUCUACGGCCCAUUAAAAAAAAUCCAUGAACGCAGAGUGUGACUUUUGGAUUACAUCUAAUCCUGGGCGUUCAAUGACAAUUUAUGAUAUUCCCAAAAUUGUUAGUAAGGCACUACCACUUGCCGUAACCCAGCGAAAUAUUAUGUCAGGAUUCGAAUGCACCGGCAUUUCAUCAUUUUUCCAGGAGUACAAAUUUUUACCAAGCAGUGUAAUAGAUAGCCCAUCUACUUCGUCAGCAUGAACAGACUGAAACUGCAGUUCCACUACCAUCAUCACUGACUGAAUUUCAGACGCUAGAAAAUGAACCGAUGGCUUUAGGAACGGUGACUAAAGAAGACAGAAGUUUGAGUAAGUAACUCUGUUAGCAAUUUGAGCGAAACGCUUCAAAGUAUUCGUCCUCACCCGAAAGCAGAGUUGAGAAAGCAAACGCAUCGAGGUCGUAAACAGAUGUGCCAUGCUCACGCUAUGAAUUCACCUGAAAUGAUAGAACUGGCAACGGAACAAGAAACAGCUAAGAUCAAAAAAGCAGCCACAAAAAUACAACAGAUGCUUA